GGUGCCGUAACUUCGGGAGAAGGCACGCUGAUAUGUAGGUGAAGUGAUUUACUCAUGGAGCUGAAAUCAGUCGAAGAUACCAGCUGGCUGCAACUGUUUAUUAAAAACACAGCACUGUGCAAACACGAAAGUGGACGUAUACGGUGUGACGCCUGCCCGGUGCCGGAAGGUUAAUUGAUGGGGUCAGCGCAAGCGAAGCUCCUGAUCGAAGCCCCGGUAAACGGCGGCCGUAACUAUAACGGUCCUAAGGUAGCGAAAUUCCUUGUCGGGUAAGUUCCGACCUGCACGAAUGGCGUAAUGAUGGCCAGGCUGUCUCCACCCGAGACUCAGUGAAAUUGAACUCGCUGUGAAGAUGCAGUGUACCCGCGGCAAGACGGAAAGACCCCGUGAACCUUUACUAUAGCUUGACACUGAACAUUGAGCCUUGAUGUGUAGGAUAGGUGGGAGGCUUUGAAGCGUGGACGCCAGUCUGCGUGGAGCCGACCUUGAAAUACCACCCUUUAAUGUUUGAUGUUCUAACGUGGACCCGUUACCCGGGUUGCGGACAGUGUCUGGUGGGUAGUUUGACUGGGGCGGUCUCCUCCUAAAGAGUAACGGAGGAGCACGAAGGUUGGCUAAUCCUGGUCGGACAUCAGGAGGUUAGUGCAAUGGCAUAAGCCAGCUUGACUGCGAGCGUGACGGCGCGAGCAGGUGCGAAAGCAGGUCAUAGUGAUCCGGUGGUUCUGAAUGGAAGGGCCAUCGCUCAACGGAUAAAAGGUACUCCGGGGAUAACAGGCUGAUACCGCCCAAGAGUUCAUAUCGACGGCGGUGUUUGGCACCUCGAUGUCGGCUCAUCACAUCCUGGGGCUGAAGUAGGUCCCAAGGGUAUGGCUGUUCGCCAUUUAAAGUGGUACGCGAGCUGGGUUUAGAACGUCGUGAGACAGUUCGGUCCCUAUCUGCCGUGGGCGCUGGAGAACUGAGGGGGGCUGCUCCUAGUACGAGAGGACCGGAGUGGACGCAUCACUGGUGUUCGGGUUGUCAUGCCAAUGGCACUGCCCGGUAGCUAAAUGCGGAAGAGAUAAGUGCUGAAAGCAUCUAAGCACGAAACUUGCCCCGAGAUGAGUUCUCCCUGAGACUUUAGGUCUCCUGAAGGAACGUUGAAGACGACGACGUUGAUAGGCCGGGUGUGUAAGCGCAGCGAUGCGUUGAGCUAACCGGUACUAAUGAACCGUGAGGCUUAACCUUACAACGCCGAAG
rnacentral:rRNA from 1 species